UACUAAAUUUGCAAAAUUUAAAAUAUAUCAAGGCAUCUGAGAUGACCUGAAGUCUAUAGGAUUAGGGAAACUCCAGUGCACUUGUAAAUUGUAUCCAAUCACUACUUAAGUUUUUAAACACUACAUCUUAAAAAAAAAUCUCUGCAAACCCUUGCACAGUCAAGAUGUUAAAAUGGAUGUCUCUUUUUCUGCUGAAGCCUCAACCACUGCCAGAGUGACAAGAAGCUAACAAAAUGCUUAAAAUGCACAGAACAUAAUUUACUGGUGCACAAACAUUUAACAUUUUCUCAAAUGUCUCAACAGUGCAAAUCACAAGACAUUCCAUAAAACACUUUCUCCACUUGACAUCAUUGAAACACUUCACUAACACAAACAAAUCCACUUUUUAAGUUAAAUAUUUAUGACAUACAGUAGUGGUGCUGAAAUAAAAAUAUAAGUGUAAAGUAUUCAGCUAAGAAUGGAAGUAUCUCAGGAAAUCUAGCUAUUAAACUUACAUGACAGUUAUACAGAACUGAAGACACAUUUAUAAUAGAACAUCUGAAUGGAAUUUCAGAGAAGGAAAAAGUCUUCCCUGCCCUCCCAAAUAAGGUGAAAAUACUAAUACUUAGGGAAGUUCAUACAAUUUCUUUGUGGUGUUAGAAUAUGAACAAUUGCUAAUAUUUGGAUUUAAGAAUGCUGCUACAUGAAUCUGAAAUUACUGCUAUUCUUGGAAAAUAGGUCUGCGAUAACAACAGUGAGCCAAAUAGCAAGGAUUUGUAAAGCAAUGACAGUAAUGAUGACUCCUGCACAAAGAUAUGUUUGAAUAUUUUAUAUUUUCAUGACUUUUACUGAUUUUACAAAUUGGCUAAAUUUUGCAGUUCAAAAUAAAAUCACAGUUACUAAUGAUUUACUCUAAGUUUUGGAAGCAGAGUUCAUUAUGGACCAAAGACCAAUAAAUGACUCAGCAGAUUACUGAUAAUAUUAUUCUAGAGACUGCCUUGAAAAUAUUCUUGCCUUAAAAGUAAGAUUUCCAUAUCCACCUAAACACAAUCUAUCCUUUACAGUAGUAAAAAUGUUGUUCUGCAGAUGCCAUAUUCAUUCUAGAUUUACCCCAUUAUUGAUAUGAAAUAGUUCUUAAGACUGUGUUGUAUGGAAUAACAAAUAAUAAUAACUCCCUGGGUAAAGGCAUUUCAUAUGACAUUAAUGACUGGAUCUUACUUGCUGAGAUUUGGGGUUGUAAAUUUUUUUGCAGUUAUUACGUUUAUUAUUAUUAUUAGCACUGAUGCCAGCUCAGCUGGUGUUAAAGAAAAAACUCAGGAGCAGUUAAUUGAGGGUGAGAUAAGGAAAGGGUUUAAUUUGUGCCAAGGCAUAGACGUUACAGGACGUGCGCCGGCUGUGCCUGAGAUGUUACAUUUUAUAAUACCAUCUGUCCAAUCCCAAGUGUUUCUACCCUGUAGCCUUUGCUCUGGUCUGCCCUGGGCCCACCCCCUGGGAAUUGAGUCUGGGGUGUAUUUCGGGACCCCCUCUUCAUCAUUCUCAUCAUCCUCAGAGCACAAAGGGUACACGGUCACCCAGUUCUUGACUCUGUUCUGUUGUUCAGGCCAAGAUAUGAGUGUACUCCAAACAGCAUAGACCUUGCCUUGACAGGAGACUAAACAUUGGCACUGAAUUCAGGGGUAGGAUUGAUAUAGGGAACAUGGAAUGGGGUAGGAGGGUUGAGGAAUGUGUAAACUAAAGGGUGCUAAAGGGUGAGGAAUACAAUAUAGUUACUUCUAAAAUCUACUUCUACUAUAAUUACAUAUAAAGCUUAUAAAAAUUAGCAAAGUCAAAAAAACUAAAAGAGUCUUAAGGCAUCAGCACAGACAUUCAAAUCCUGUGUGUAUAAAAAUAUCUUUGAGCUUUACAGAAUUCCAUGAAAGCAAAUAAUGAAAUGACCCCUAAUAAUAAUUGUACUGAGGUGACAUUAAAGUGUGAAUGAAAAUCAAAGUUUAUAUUACACCCAUUCACCACCUUUUCUUGAUGGAAAACAUAGAAUAAUCUGAAUCCUUUUCUGUUCUUUUUUUAAAUCAAAAACCAGAUAAGUUGUCAGAACGUGAGCAAUUAUUACUAUUUUGAUAAAAACUAAGGUAAGUUCCUGUGGCUUUUUUGUGUGUUGUUUUCAUUUUUUUAACCUAUUUAUUCAAUUCAUAGACUUCCUUAAUUCAACUUUAGUUUGCAACUAAAAUCCCCAGAUAAUUUUUUUUUAAUCUUACUUUCAUUGUUGUGUUGUCAAUCAAAUUACUUCUCAGGACUCAGGGAAAUCUUAUAAAUGUGUAUAAAUACCUGAUGGAUGGAAGCAAAGAGGAUGGAGAAAGGUUUUUCUCAGUGGUUCCCAGUGACAGGAAAAGAGUCAAUGGACAUAAAUUCAAAUACAUAGAAUUCCAUUAAAAUGCAAGAAAAAGUGGAUUUUUUUACUGUCAGGCUGUAUAGCAGUGGAUCAUGUUGCCUGGAUAAAUUGUGGUGUAUCCAUCCUUGGAGAUAUUCAAAACCCAGGUGGAUUUGUUUCUGAGCAAUGUGCUGCAACUGACCAUGCUGUAAGCAGGGAUGCUGGACUAGAUGAUCUCUAGAGGUGUCUUCCAACCUCAUCUAUUCUGUGACUUCUUAUUAAACUAUCCCAUAUACUUAGACUCCUUAUCUCUAGUAAGCUCGGUAUCUUUAGGGACCUAACUACAUAAGCAUAGCAGAAUCAUAGAAUGGUUUAUGUUGGAAGGGACCUUAAAGGUCAUGUAGUUCCAAAAUCCCUGCCAUGACCAGGGACACCUUCCACUAAACUGGGUUGCUUAAAGCUCCAUCCAUAUUAACUGACUUUCUUUAGUGAGACAGCUAAGGUAGGAGUGAAAGAAUAGGGUAGCAAUCUAUACAAUUACUAACAAUGUGGAUAGUGUGGACAAGGAUAAAUUACCUACCUUCAUUUCCAGCACAAGGGGCAUCACAUGAAACUAGCAGAUGUCAGGAUGAAAAUAAAAAAAACAGAGGUGGUUUUCACAUGGUGAGUAGUUGAGACAGUCAGAGUUUACAUAGGUUGAAAAAGAGGCUGGACAUACCUCCGAAAAACUAAUAGUUUGUGGGUUGCUUAUUACAGAAGAAUCACACAUGGCUGAAGGUAUCCCUUAUUAGUGCAUGAUUAGCAUCUGCCACAUAACCUGGUCUGUUUCUAGAUGUUUUGCUGGGAUCUCAGCUUAUGCCAAUGCUGGAAAAGUUUGACUAACCUUAUUUUCUUAUUACAUUAUAUUAUAAAACAUGUAUAUUUUACUGUAAAUUUACUUGAUCUUCAAAUCAAUAAUUCCCUCAGCUCUAAUUUUACAGAUUGCAUAGAUAAAGUCACUUCUUUUUUAUUACAUAACACAUGCAUGCAUGCAUGCAUAUUUUACUAUUUUACUCAGAUUUUAACCAUUGUAAUUGCUAUAUUUCCUUCAAUUCUGCACACUUUUAUACAGUGCUUAUGCACUUUUGUCUUUAACAGGAACACUAACACUGAUUGCUGUCAGGGACAAUGACAUGGUUUGGCCUAGUUUAUUUUUUUAAAAAUAAAUUUUAUUACUACAUAAAGAUGAUAACCUAUAUAAUACAUGCCAUCUUUUGCACGUGUUUCAUUUUGUUAGCUGUCUUGGUUACUUCCUUGUGUUCCAAGAACACUUGAAGAAAGAGGAGAGAAUGUAGUGACUGUCUGGCUGGACAAGUGGCCAGUGUUAGUCCACUAUUCAGGAAUGCAGUCGACUGCUCUUCUACUAUGUGUUGUAAUGUUAGGGGUGAUUUAUUGUUCUCAUAUGUUGAAUAUUCUGCAUUUACUACUCAAAUGCAUGUUUUUCUACUACCUGCUUCUAUCAGAAAGGAUGAUUCAAGUGGUAUACACAGAAAGGUGUAUGGGGAGAAAAGGGAAUCAUUUCAAGAGGGAUCACAAAAAAAUAUGCUUUAAAAGUUUGUCUUAUAUUUUUUGGUCACAUGAUGCAGUAAAUAGUCAUAUUUUUAAUUAUGUCCUUGGAGUUCAUUUUUUCACUGCUGGAAGUGAAAUCAGGGCAAUACAUUUAUUAUUAUUCAAAUGAUCCCACUGCCUUCAACCCCUACUGCUGUAGCUUCUUUGGGUUACUUUGAAGUUUGAUCUUAUCCCCCUGUUUGUUCGUUACAUUUUCAGUUAUGGGUCUUGCUACUGCAGAUCUGAUUAUAACUGAAGUUCUACAGUAGAAAUUUCUAACCAAAAAAUGCAUGACACAGGAGGCAGGUGCAGAAAUGCAGUUUGGGUUUACAUAAGACAAUUCAGAAUGAACAAACAUCAACAUAAUGUUCUGCAAACCGACAUCAGCAAAAAUCAGAUUAUGAACUUAAAAAGCAAAAAACUAAUUGCAGUAUCAAAACUUUUAGCAUAUUUCUCCCAUUCUACAGUAUGUCACACACCUGAUCUCUGUGAAGGGAGGGAGAUAGAAAGAGAAGGAGGUGGAGGACUCUGGGGUUGUUAUAUGCUCUCUUUUUUCUGCUAUUUGAUUUUAGCAUCCUUUUGUGUUUAUAAAUAACAAGCUAACAUUUCUUAGCUCAACUUUGUUUCUUAGCCUUAAAUUAAGAAAAAUACAUUCUAUGAAAUGAAGGGGGAUUUAUCAACAGCAAAUGAAAUACAAAUAUUUUGAAUGCAGUACAUGAAGAUAUCAAUAUUCAAUUCUUAAAAGGAGAAAGCUGAGAACAGAAAUUCAGUUUAUCUUUUUUCAGGUUUGCUGAAUUUACCUCACCAAUGAAUAAUUAUUGCUUCUAGUAAUGCUGUCCCACAACUGGCUCAAGUCCUGGGCAAACUCCUCUUCCCUGUAUGAAGAAAGAAUGAAAUUUCAUUUGUCAUAUUUCUUCCAAGGACUUUUCUUCCUUCAUGAAGACCAAAAUAUCUACUUUAUAAGAAGAUUGGACUCAAUCAAUCAAGAAUAAGUACAGGCUGGUUUUCAAAUAUUUCUUAGGACUUGGACUCGAAACCCUCCAACUAUAUGUAGUCAUGUACAUGUUGAUUCCCCCUAAGUGUUUGGCAUACAGAUUCAUACAGAGAACCUUAACAUGUAGUUAACCUUGAAGCACCGUGUUGACUUUUUUUCUGGCCUAAAGUUGCUUUCUGUAGCCAUCCAAUAAAAGAAAGUAAAAAAUUUU